CGCUUCAGAUGGCAACCUACGGCUGAUCGAGAUAGAUUUACAUUUUAACGAGUUCGCUGGACUAACGUCCUUUCCAAGCCACACCGGUGAAGCUUUGCGAAAAAAACUUUAACGUCAGAGAUCUAUGUAUUUUUUGGCGGGAUAAUCCAACCCAUAUUCUGCGCAAGCCCUAAGGAUGUAUUUUUGCACAUCUGCCACCAGUGAUCACUGUGGAGAGAGCGGAAACAAAUUAUCCGUUCCAGAUGCUGAGGGAAAACUUUUGUUAAGUUUUCAGAGAGAAAAGGCA
rnacentral:misc_RNA from 1 species